AAGAUAAUCUGAGUUAAGUUUAGUUUUUUUUUUAAAGGUAUUUUGCCUAGGAUUUUGGUCCGGUCGGAGGAGCUCUUUCUCCUUUUCCAUACCAUAAAAACCGUUUGCGGACGCCGCUACGCGAUUCCUUUUACUUCCUCUCUCUACACAAACCAACCCAGGAAAAACAAAACAUAGCUGGAUAUUAAAUUCUCUAAAUUACCUUGAAAUUGCUAUUCAUACCAUUUUCAACCUCUUUCUCUAUUGGUUUUUUUCCAUCCGGGUUAGUCGCCUUUGUCAUCUUUCCCCUACAUGAUCUCUGGCUUUAAGUUGGACUUUUAUAAAUGUUUUAUUGUAUGAAUGGUGCGUGCUCUUUUUGUACUUGUUAUGUAUCGGCAUUGGCGUUGCAGCUGUGGCAUUAGGGUUUUGAUGGGUUGGGUACUGUUAGCUGCUCAGGUUUUCAUUUUUUGGUGCAAAAGGGCGAAUUUUAUGUCUCUCUGCGUUCACACACACACAUGAAAUAUAGAGCUGAAUGUAGUUAGAGAUAGUCUUCUCUUUAUUUGGCUCGCAUUUUGUCUAUAUCUUAUGCAAUUUAAAUUGGCUAUUUGGCGUUUUUCUUUUUUGUUAUUAUCCU
rnacentral:lncRNA from 1 species